GCGGGCCUACACAUGCAAGUCGAGCGGUAACAGGAAGUAGCUUGCUACUUCGCUGACGAGCGGCGGACGGGUGAGUAAUGCAUAGGAAGUUGCCCUGAUGUGGGGGAUAACCAUUGGAAACGAUGGCUAAUACCGCAUAAUCUUUUCGGAGCAAAGCGGGGGACCUUCGGGCCUCGCGCGUUAGGAUACGCCUAUGUGGGAUUAGCUAGUUGGUGAGGUAAUGGCUCACCAAGGCGACGAUCCCUAGCUGGUCUGAGAGGAUGAUCAGCCACACUGGGACUGAGACACGGCCCAGACUCCUACGGGAGGCAGCAGUGGGGAAUAUUGCACAAUGGGCGAAAGCCUGAUGCAGCCAUGCCGCGUGUAUGAAGAAGGCCUUCGGGUUGUAAAGCACUUUCAGUUGUGAGGAAGGUUGUGUAGUUAAUAGCUGCAUAAUUUGACGUUAGCAACAGAAGAAGCACCGGCUAACUCCGUGCCAGCAGCCGCGGUAAUACGGAGGGUGCGAGCGUUAAUCGGAAUUACUGGGCGUAAAGCGCAUGCAGGUGGUUUGUUAAGUCAGAUGUGAAAGCCCAGGGCUCAACCUCGGAAGGUCAUUUGAAACUGGCAAACUAGAGUACUGUAGAGGGGGGUAGAAUUUCAGGUGUAGCGGUGAAAUGCGUAGAGAUCUGAAGGAAUACCAGUGGCGAAGGCGGCCCCCUGGACAGAUACUGACACUCAGAUGCGAAAGCGUGGGGAGCAAACAGGAUUAGAUACCCUGGUAGUCCACGCCGUANACGAUGUCUACUUGGAGGUUGUGGCCUUGAGCCGUGGCUUUCGGAGCUAACGCGUUAAGUAGACCGCCUGGGGAGUACGGUCGCAAGAUUAAAACUCAAAUGAGUUGACGGGGGCCCGCACAAGCGGUGGAGCAUGUGGUUUAAUUCGAUGCAACGCGAAGAACCUUACCUACUCUUGACAUCCAGAGAACUUUCCAGAGAUGGAUUUGGUGCUUCGGGAACUCUGAGACAGGUGCUGCAUGGCUGUCGUCAGCUCGUGUUGUGAAAUGGUGGGUUAAGUCCCGCCACGAGCGCAACCCUUAUCCUUGU
rnacentral:rRNA from 1 species